CGAAAUAUCUAGCACAGCAGCCAAUGCACCAGCAAAGAGAGGGGCCGCAGGAACUGUCGGCGAGACAGCAGAAUUAGGAAGACCGGCAAUGGCCAUGUGAAACAGAAGCACCACGCGAGGAAGAUACAAGACAAAGGCCCGCGGCAUAGCACCAGCUGAAACACCACUCAGACCAGGAGGAGGCGUGCCCAAAAAUAGACCAUCGCAGAAGCCGAGGGAACAUACUUUUUCUCUGGAAUCUCUCGAAAAGGGUGCUUCCCCUCACAAAUAUCCCGACGACAGCGGUGCGCCUCAGCAGGAUUAACAACUUCAUCUGCAAAAAUACAAUCUUAAACACAAGAAGAACACAACAUGGCAAGAUGAUCCAUACUCUAUGCCAAUCAUGCAUCCUGAUUACAGAACAUUAUUUUGAGAUGUGAAUAAUAAAACAUAGAUGUACAAAAUAUUCGAGCAACUAUUCAAGAAAAUAUUUGUAUAAAUUUGAAUGCCUUAAGUCAAGAGCUUUGACAACUAUUAUUUGAUCCAGGGUGACAAGAAAAGCACAUCAAUAGUUAGGUUCCGAAAAAGAAUAGAAGGCAACAUGCCUUGUUGUUGCUGUCGCCGGAGAGUUGUAGCUGCUUGGUACUGCCUCUUGUGUAUCCGGGCCUCGAUCUGGUAGGUCACAUGAUUACAGUACCAAGAAUCAGCAUACUGAUUUAUGAAGCAUAAAGCUGAAAAUAAAUAAUUCAAACAAAUCAAAGCCAUGAAUCAAGAUCUCUCUUGUAACACUAAAUCAUAUUUCAUUUUCAGCCCGGCAAGUUUUUAUAAACUGUACACCACAUACUUUUCGACCAGAUUUUCCCUUUACUACUGUCUAUGACAAAUGAAAAACAAUACCACAUGAUGCAUUGCUUAAAAAAAAUAUGAGCUCCGAUAAUCAUAUAAUCACAUAGAAUUAUCACUCAUAAGAAAAUUAAGUGCAUCAUGCUAUUACAAUAAAAUAGGAGAUGCACUUGUAUAGUGCUAAGAACAAAACUUGGAUUGUUCUAAUAUAUUUUAUCAGAAGAAAUACCAUCCUACCAUUUACUAAAAAACUUGGGCUAAUUAAAAGGGAUCACAUGUACUUAUGUUUAUGAUAGAAAGAAGUCUAAAAAUAUUGCAAUAAACUGAAACUAAUGCAGAAAAUAGAAAGUAUGAUGGUGUAUUAUGUCAUUUGCGGAAACAUCUCAAUAGUGGCUUUCCCAAACAGUGCCCCCAUUUCUUGAAUUGAUAAUGCACAAAUUCCACUUCCAGACAAAUCAGUAAAACUCAAAAUAUGUGUUAAAAUUGAUGGUGUUGUUUUGUUCUCAUGAACAACGCUGUUAGCAUAUAAAAAUGUAGGCUCAUCUCUAGAAAAAAAGGAUCUAUUAAUGUAUCUUCUGGAAGAACAGAGCAGGGAAUUUGGAGGUUCAGAGUACUAACGUGUAUGUUAUCAACCGGGAGCUUCAACUACUGAAUAUCUGCACACAUUUGCCUCAGAUCAUAGUUCCAUCACUACUUCAAAUUCAGUAAGCCACAUGGAAGAUCGAGGACUAACCUGCGGAGCCGAUU
rnacentral:lncRNA from 1 species